AACGCGAAGAACCUUACCUGGGUUUGACAUCCCGCGAAUCUCCAUGAAAGUGGGGAGUGCCCUUCGGGGAGCGCGGAGACAGGUGCUGCAUGGCUGUCGUCAGCUCGUGCCGUGAGGUGUUGGGUUAAGUCCCGCAACGAGCGCAACCCUUGUUGCCAGUUGCCACCAGGUAAAGCUGGGCACUCUGGCGAGACUGCCCGGGUCAACCGGGAGGAAGGUGGGGACGACGUCAAGUCAUCAUGGCCCUUACAUCCAGGGCUACACACGUACUACAAUGGCAGGUACAAAGGGUUGCCAAGCCGCGAGGCCGCGCUAAUCCCAGAAAGCCUGUCUCAGUCCGGAUUGCAGUCUGCAACUCGACUGCAUGAAGCUGGAAUCGCUAGUAAUCCCGGAUCAGCAUGCCGGGGUGAAUACGUUCCCGGGUCUUGUACACACCG
rnacentral:rRNA from 1 species